CCUACGGGAGGCAGCAGUGAGGAAUAUUGGUCAAUGGGCGAGAGCCUGAACCAGCCAAGUCGCGUGAGGGAGUACUGCCCUAUGGGUUGUAAACCUCUUUUGUCGGGGAGCAACAGCCGGACGUGUCCGGCUGUGAGAGUACCCGAAGCAAAAGCAUCGGCUAACUACGUGCCAGCAGCCGCGGUAAUACGGAGGAUGCGAGCGUUAUCCGGAUUUAGUGGGUUUCAAGGGAGCGUAGGCCGGUCUUUAAGCGUGCCGUGAAAUUUUGUGGCGCAACCAUGAGAGUGCGGCGCGAACUGGAGACUUUGAGUGCGCGGAAGGCAGGUGGAAUUCGUGGGGUAGCGGUGAAAUGCUUAGAUAUCACGAAGAACCCCGAUUGUGAAGGCAGCCUGCCGCAGCGUUACUGACGCUGAAGCUCGAAAGCGCGGGUAUCGAACAGGAUUAGAUACCCGUGUAGUC
rnacentral:rRNA from 1 species